ACAAGAUGGGUUUGCAUAAUUGAAGAGUUAAUUGAUGUAUUGGGUUUGAAUUAGAGAUUGAAGACAGUUAGGGUUUAUGUGUUCUUCCCAAAAUUAUAAUUAGGGUUUCAGCGGAAUUGGUUUAGUGAACUGGCAAUUCAAAGGAAGCUAGUGAAGGGGUAAGUUUCUAUGUCGUUUAAAUUCUGUACUUAGUGUUGAAUUAUGUAUAGUCUGAUGUAGUUGAAUAAUGAGAUGAGUUUAAGGAAGCUGUUAAUACCGUUGUUGUUAUAUUUGGAUGAAUAGAUGAUUUCAAGAGAUGUGAUUGAGUAACUGUGGUUGUAGUUAGUCUGUAUUUGGGAUGAUAUAUGAAUUAUAUAUGAAUUAUAUAUCAUGAGUAACUGUGGUUGUAGUUAGUCUGUAUUUGGGAUGAUAAUUAUGUGGUUGUAGUUAGUCUGGUGGUGGGUUCCUGAGUUAAGCUAAAUGAGAUGGCGUGUUUAAUAGAUGAAUUGAGGAUUGUUUUAGAUUUGAUAGUUUAUGAAUUAUGAUCUGAGAUAACUAUGGUGGUUUACUGUUGUGUGUUAUAUGGAUUUUAGAUGAAUGUUAAGGAGAUGCGGUUACAGAUGGGUAUUUGGUGUUGAUUGAAGUUGUGUGAUUGUUAAUGGACUCAUAGUGGAGUUAGAUGAAUGGGGUGUGUGAUGGAGAUGAAAUUGUUUACCCAGUGAUGCUGUAUUGAGAUGCAAGUGAAGUUAACUGGAGUUACAGAAUUGAGGUUGGAGUUAGUAAUGAAACUGUGAUCGAAUCAGUUGUGUGUGUAUGAUGCUGAGUUUUAUGGCCUGUGAUGUUGUUGGAAGGUUAAUGAGAUGAAGUGAUAUUGACGUUAUAGUGAAAUGAGUAAUGGAAUCUGGUUGCGGUGUAAGUCUGAGAAAGUGGUGACAAUGGAAUAGAGAGUGAAGAUAUAGUUGUGUAUAUAGAUAAAGUGUGGAUUGGUACUGCAAUUCCAGGUGUUAUGGGUGAUUACAUUGAAAGUGUAGAAGCUGCAGUUUGUUUGGUGAAUGAGCUAGGUUGAUAUGUAAUGAUAGAUGUGUAUCUUGAUGAUAAUCAAUGGAAGCUUGCUUCUGCUAUAUGAAGUUAGUCUAUAUUAACAACGAUCGAUUCAAAGGACGAACCAGUGGAUCGUGGAUCUCGAGCUAGGCGUGGCUUGUCAUCAAAAGAGUUUCAGAGACAGAUCAAGAUGUGCACGUGACGAUGAAAGCUUCGGGGAUUUAAUUACGAUAGUUAGAUAGCUUCCGCUAUUUUUGAUUUGUGUUUAUAUUCUAUUUGCAAACCAAAACACUAAUGUAUAUGUAUCAUUUGAGAGGAGUUUUUGUAUUUAUAUAUCUCAGAGUGGGGCUAGUUUUUGGGUUAAGUUU